rnacentral:piRNA from 1 species
UCCAACUGCUUCUGGUGGCUGAAGUCUGA